AUACUUGCCUGGGAAAGAGAUAUCCAUGAUCACCAGGGCGGUUUUUCCAGGACGAGGCUUCUCCGUGGCACUCUGCCUGUGCCGCCCCCUAGAUUUUCCCCAACUGUGGGAAAUUCAGAGGCAUGACCUUGGUAGUGGGAGACUGCGUUUGCAUUUUCCCC
ensembl:snRNA U1 U1 spliceosomal RNA